rnacentral:rRNA from 1 species
GGAUAAUCUGCCCUCAGGUGAGGAAUAAUCCCGGGAAACUGGGGCUAAUGCCUCAUAGGAGACGGGUGCUGGAAUGCUCUGUCUCCGAAAGGUCCGCCGCCUGAGGAUGAGUCUGCGUCCGAUUAGGUUGUUGUUGGGGUAACGGCCCAACAAGCCUUUGAUCGGUACGGGUUGUGGGAGCAAGAGCCCGGAGAUGGAUUCUGAGACAUGAAUCCAGGCCCUACGGGGCGCAGCAGGCGCGAAAACUUUACAAUGCGAGCAAUCGUGAUAAGGAAACCCUGAGUGCCUGUCAAUGCAGGCUGUUCUGGUGUCUAACACACACCAGGAGAAAGGGCGGGGCAAGACCGGUGCCAGCCGCCGCGGUAAUACCGGCUGCUCGAGUGAUAGCCACUUUUACUGGGCUUAAAGCGUUCGUAGCUUGGUCGUUAAGUCUCUGGGGAAAUCUUUUGGCUCAACCAAAAGGCGUCUCAGGGAAACUGACGAUCUUGGAACCGGGAGAGGUAAGACGUACUUCGGUGGUAGGAGUGAAAUCUUGUAAUCCCCGAGGGACGACCGAUGGCGAAGGCAUCUUACCAGAACGGCUUCGACAGUGAGGGACGAAAGCUGGGGGAGCAAACCGGAUUAGAUACCCGGGUAGUCCCAGCCGUAAACGAUGUGCGUUAGGUGUGUCAGUGACCACGAGUCGCUGAGGUGCCGAAGGGAAACCGUGAAACGCACCGCCUAGGAAGUACGGUCGCAAGGCUGAAACUUAA